rnacentral:rRNA from 1 species
UGCCAGCAGCCGCGGUAAUACGUAGGGGACAAGCGUUAUUCGGAAUCACUGGGCGUAAAGGGUGCGUAGGCGGUUUAACAAGUCAGAAGUGAAAGGCAUUGGCUCAACCAAUGUAAGCUUUUGAAACUGUUAGACUUGAGUGCAGGAGAGGAAAGUGGAAUUCCUAGUGUAGCGGUGAAAUGCGUAGAUAGUAGGAGGAACACCGGUGGCGAAGGCGACUUUCUGGACUGUAAAGGAAGCGGAGGCAAGAACGCGUGGGGCGCGAACAGGAGUAGAUC